rnacentral:lncRNA from 1 species
CUCCGCCUUUGCCGGAUGCACGGGGGGUAUGGUCACUAGUGUAACCAGGGGGUGAGGCCUCAUUUAACACAGUAAAUUCAUCAGGCUUAAGCCAUGUUUCAGUCAGGCCAAUCACAUCAAGAUUAUUAUCAGUGAUUAGUUCAUUGACUAUAACUGCCUUGGAAGUGAGGGAUCUAACAUUAAGUAACCCAAUUUUGAGAUGUGAGGUAUCACAAUAUCUUUCAAUAAUGGCAGGAAUGGAGGAGGUCUUUAUACUAGUGAGAUUGCUAAAGCGAACACUGCCAUUUUUAAUUUUGCCCAACCUAGAUCGAGGCACAGACACGUUCUCAAUGGGGAAAGCUGAGCUGACUACGCUGACUGUGCUAGUGGCAGAAAACAUUUAUGAGGUGAAAAGUUGUGUUUAUACAACAAAGCCCAGAAAAUUAAAGCCUGCUUGUGAAAAGCCGGCAGUUUCACAGGAAGUUUACCCACAAUAUAUGGACAUUGUAGUAAAAAAUUAAGCCCUCCGAACUUCUGAAAAACAAAAUGAGGUAUAAUAUUCCAGAAACUAUGAGGAUUUUUCUGUACCUUUUUAAUCCAGUUGACCUUUAUCUGAUUGAAGAGAGUGAAGUCUAAGACAUUUAGAUCGCCAUCACAAACCUUGUUGGUGAUAACAUCUCUUUUUAUCUUAUAUGGCUUGUUUUUCCAUAUGAAGUUGUACAAAAGCCUAUCUAAGGUACAGCAAGUGGAUUUGGGAAUGUCAAUAGAUGAAAAAAAGAGCCCAUCAGCUUUGGAUAAAAGCACCCUUCCUUGAAGACUUAAAUCCCUCACUAACCAUGAGGAUAAAGACAGAUUCAGUUACAGGGUUCAAAUUAAGAUCAUUCACAGCCUUAAGAUUUUUGGUGAUCUUUACACCGAGGUAGUUUACAGUAUCUUUUUCAGAGAUGUUACAAUCUGCUGGAUUGACAGCUCCUUUCAAAACAAACAUCUCACAUUUGGAAAGAUUUAAUGCCAAACACGAGAUUUUGGAGAACUGCUUCACAAUAUCCAAUGCUAAUCUAGCUUGUGACACAUUUAAAAAAAAAAAGGUGAGUUAUCAUCCGCCAGUUGGGAUAUCUUGAUCUCUCUGGCCUGGAAUGUAAUGCCUUCAAAUGAACUUUUAUGAACUAAAGAGCAUAACAUUUAAGAUACUAACAAAAAUAAAAAAGGUGAAAUUGGACAACCUUGUCGUAUUCUUUUGUAAAUGUUAAACCAGAGUUUGAUACAGCUAUUGCCACCAUUAUACAGAGUUCUAAUAGCAUCAACAAAAAAACGACCAAAUUUCAAAUGCUUAAGACAAUCAAAGAUAAAAUUGUGACUUACUGUAUCAAAUGCUUUCUGAAAAUCCCAAAAUAGGAUAACAGGGAAGUCAUCCAAUAGAUCACAAUACUCAACCAAGUCUAACACCAGCCUCAGAUUAUCAGAUAUAUGGCGCCCUUUCAUAAACCCUGAUUGACAUUCAUCAAUCAGAUCAUUCAAGCCAGACUUUAACCUUUUUGCAAAGACUAAGGCUAUAAUUUUGUAGUCAUUAUUUAGGAGUGUGAUUGGACGGCAAUUAUCAAUAUUUAAGAGAUCCUGUUGGGAGAGACGGACCAAGGUGCAGCGUAAUUGGAGUUCCACAUCUUUAUUUUAGUGAAACUUAAACAAACCAAGAAACAAACAACGACCAUGAAGUACCAUAGUGCUACAUGCACUCACUCAAAACAAUAUCCCACAAAACACAGGUGGGAAACAGGCUACCUAAAUAUGAUCCACAAUUAGAGGCAACGAUUACCAGCUGCCUCUAAUUGGGAACCAUACAACUCACCAACAUAGAAAUACAAUGACUAGAACACCCCCCUAGUCACACUCUGACCUAAACACCAAGGGCUCUCUAUGUUCAGGGCGUGACAGUACCCCCCCUCUGCACUGGCGCAGAGGAAUACUCCGGCCCUGGAGCGGGACUGGAUGCCGUGCCUGGACGCCGUGCCUGGACUGGGCACCGGCGCAGAGGAAGGCUCCGGCCAUGGAACGGGACUGGACGCCGUGCCUGGACUGGGCCCCGGCACAGAGAAAGGCUCCUGCCAUGGAGUGGGACUGGACGCCGUGCCUGGACGCCAUGCCUGGACUGGGCACCGGCGCAGAGGAAGGCUCCGGCCAUGGAACGGGACUGGACGCCGUGCCUGGACUGGGCCCCGGCGCAGAGAAAGGCUCCUGCCAUGGAGCGGGACUGGACAUCGUGCCUGGACUGGGCACCGGCGCAGAGAAAGGCUCCUGCCCUGGCACUGGCGCAGGAAGCUCCGGGCCGUGGACCAUCAUUGGAAGCUCCAGACAGUGGACUGUCGCUGGAAGCUCCGGGCCGUUGACCGUCGCUGGAAGCUCCGGGCCGUUGACCGUCGCUGGAAGCUCCGGGCCGUUGACCGUCGCUGGAAGCUCCGGGCCGUGAACCGUCGCUGGAAGCUCCGGGCUGUAGACCGUCGCUGGAAGCUCCGGGCUGUAGACCGUCGCUGGAGUCUUAGUGCAUGGAGCCAGUACAGGUGACACCGGACUGGUGACACGCACUUCUGGGUGAGUACGAGGAGCUGGCACAGGACGUACCCAACUGGGGAGGCGCACUGGAGGCCUGGUGCGUGGAGCCAGCACAGGUGGCACCAGACUGUUGACACGCACUUCAGGGCGAAUGCGGGGAGCUGGCACAGGACGUACCAGACUGGGGAGGAGCACUGGAGGCUUGGUGCGUGGAGCCGGCACAGGUGGCACCAGACUGUUGACACGCACUUCGCCUCCCUGACGGUCUCUGGCUCUUCAGGGCGAGUGCGAGGAGCUGGCACAGAUGGCACCAGACUGGUGUCACGCUCUUCAGCACGCCUGUGCUGCAGCAUACUCCUAGCCAAAACCUCUCUCCUGUAUCCCUCAUUGAACUCCUCCAGAGACUCCCAUUCGGGCUCUGGCACUCUCCGCUACUCAGCCGUCCGCCCCAUGUGCCCCCCCCAAAAAAAAUCUUGGGGUUUCUGUGGCCGCAGUCCCCGGCGUUGUCGCUGUCCUUCCUGCGUCCUCUGCGACUUCCGCCAAGGAAGGGUCUCGUGUCCUCCCAUGAUCUCCUCCCAUGUCCAAAACUCCUUUAUCUCAUGAACACGCUGCUUGGUCCUUGUGUGGUGGGAUAUUCUGUCAUGGCUGUUGGGAGAGACGGACCAAGGCGCAGCGUGAUUGGAGUUCCACAUCUUUAUUUUAGUGAAACUUAAACAAACCAAGAAACAAACAACGACCGUGAAGUACCAUAGUGCUACAUGCACUCACUCAAAACAAUAUCCCACAAAACACAGGUGGGAAACAGGCUACCUAAAUAUGAUCCCUAAUUAGAGGCAACGAUUACCAGCUGCCUCUAAUUGGGAACCAUACAGCUCACCAACAUACAAAUACAAUGACUAGAACACCCCCCUAGUCACGCUCUGACCUAAACACCAUAGAGAACCAAGGGCUCUCUAUGGUCAGGGCGUGACAAACCCCUUGCUUCAGAGAUGCAGUUAGUUCUCCCUUUAUAGCCUCCUUAAAGGUUUCAAGUAAAAAUUGUGCUAUUUCUUCAGAGAAGGUUUUGUAAAAUUCAGAGGUUAAUCCAUCACAACCUGGAGAUUUGUUAUUUUUUAACUGAGCAACCCCGUACUGGAUGUCCAUAAUGGAUAAAUCUUGACAACAAGACUUCACUAACCGAAUUAACAUUCUCUAUAGAAUCAAGGAGAUCCUUAGAGUCACUCAAAUUGUUAUCUAAGGAGUAAAGAUUCUCAUAAAAUGUAGUGUUAAAGUCUGAUAACAACUCUCUAUCCUCAGUGGUAAGCCCAUUAAUCUUAAGUUUCCGAAGUGUGUUGAGUUCCCCUCUCCUCUUUUCCAAAUUAAAAAAGUAUCUACUGUUCUUUUCGCCUUUUUCAAGCCAUUGUUUUCUGGAUCUUAUGAAAGCUCCUCUAGUCUUUUCCUCAUACAAUGUAUCUAGUUGAUUCUGUAAAUCAUUCAAUUUAGCUUUCUCAUUAAGAUCAAGAUGCUCAAUCUCUGUGACAUCCGCAAUUGUCUUAGAGAGUUCAGCUACCUCACAUCUCCUUAAAGCAAGCCGUUUUCCAUAAGUAAUACAGGCUGAGUGGAUUUUAAAUUUCAGCAGUUCCCAAUAUUUCCCAUAUUCUGCAUUAGAUGUAGCUAAACUCCAGUAAACAGAAAUUAGAUUCUUAAUCACAUUUUUUAAAUCAUCAUGCAAUAACAAUGAGUUAUGUAAUUUCCAAUAACCACCAGAGUAUUUCUUACCAUCAUUACUGCAUAAUUCUUACAGUCAACCAUAUGACUUUAUGAUCCGUCAGGACUGCAGGCUGUAUUUUGACCUCUACAGUGUUGGGCUCAAGACUAGAGGAUAUCACCCACAAAUCAAUUCUUCAUUGUAAGGAACGAUCUCUAUUACUCCAUGUGUAUUGUUUCUCUCCAGGGUUUUUAACUCUCCAUAUGUCAAUUAAAUCCAGGCUUUGGUAGUAAUUCACCAAUUUGUUCACACCAAUGUUAGGCCUAUGGGGCAAUCUAUCAGUCUCAUUAGAAUAAACCAUAUUAAAAUCUCCAUCAACUAUAAUCUGACUGGAUGGAUAUUUUCUCAGAAGACUUUUAAGAAUUUCUUCAAUUUCCUCUAGAAGUAAGUUAUUUGGAGGACUUGAACAGUAUCCAUAUACAUUACACAACACAAAUAAUCUGUCCAUGUGGUUGAUGACCGCUACUAGCCAAUGUCCAUUGGAGUCCAUUUGAGUAAACAAAAAUGUACGAAUGAUUAGUCCCGUGGGCCAAAGAAAUGACAUUGCCCCACUGAUUUUUCCAAUAAUUAUAGUCCUCUUUGCAUGAAUGUGUUUCUUGAACGAAUACAAGAUCUGCGUUGCAGUCCUUACAAAACAAAAAAAGCUUUUUCUCUUCAACAGGUUUCGUAUCCCCCUGGCAUUGAUUGACAUAAACUUCAAGUCCAUAUCUAUAGAAUAGAAAGAAAAAUCCUAUGCAAUCUCAACUCUACCCUCUCUAUAAAAUGUUGCUUCAUAUAUGUAUUAACAGAAGUCUUAACUUGUAAACAGUAACACCAUAAUUCAAAACUAGAACGCUCAGUUUGCAGUGGGGAAGGAGUUACUUUGUAAACCCACCGACAGAACAAAUCACCCCGGUCGUAUUUAUUUUCCGUCGGCGAAAAAGGCUCUAAUUCCCCUGUAGUAUCCACCCUUUCCUUGAUUUCGGGCCUGUUGUAUAAGAGGCCACAAUUUUGCCUUUGCUGCCUUGUCUGCUGCAGUCAAGUCCUCACCGAAUCUAAAUUUUCUCUCUUUCAGAAAGGCACUUUCCUUUGCUUUCUUCCAAACUGCAUCUCUCGCUGUGCAAAAAGCAAACUGGAUGAUGAUCGAGUGCCUGACGAUGGCAUCUUGCUUAUUCCCAAUACGAUGAGCGACAUCCACAGCCAUAUAUCCAUCGGGGAAGUCCGGUGCCACACGGUUACAGAUGUCUCUUACUAAGCGCUUCACAUUCUCAUCCUGGUCCUCGGGGACACCAUAAAGCCGUAGCCCCCACCUUCUCCGGUAUUGCUCUGCUUCCGAUAAGAGCUCUUGCAUGUCUGCGAUGGUCUUCUCCUGUGCAGUGCAUUUCUCAGAAGUAGCAGUGUUUGCAAGUUUAAGCGCUUCGAUACUCUUGUAUGCAUGAUUCAGAGAGGUCUCGAGGUCAACUAUUUUUUUACGUGUUUUAGCGUAUCAUUUUCUCCAGACCAUCGUCUCUUUCGUUUAUCUUUGCAGAGACAGCAUCGAUUUAUGUUGACCUGUAGUUUGCGCAAAGACAAUUCCUUCUGGGUCUUUUUGGGUGCGGGACUAUUGACUGGAUUUUCAGAAUCAACCGAAUGUCCAGAAUCCUCCAUUUCUUCUCCUGAGGAGUCAGGUGUCGGUUUUUCUCCAACGUAUGAGUGCUCAGCUUGCAACUGCCUUCUCCUCCCUUUGCUCUUUCGCACAGUUUUUUCUUCCAUUUCUCAAAGUUUCAGAUCAAAUUAGCGGUCAACUAAGCGUUGUUCUCUAUUGUGUUUACUAUAAGCCAAGUUCCGUUACAUUUAAGUAAGUUUGAGUGGGAUAAACGUUAAGGUUACUCGGAGCAAGCUGAAAUCUCAUCUGCACUCGCCGCCAUCUUCAGCACCCCCCGGGCCGAGCCAACUCAGUCACACACUUAGCAGCCGAGAAGACAGAGGAAGGGCAGCUAUGAAAGCAACAGCUGGAAAAUGAGUCGGAAGCACAGUAGCAGUUGGAUGCAUUUUAAUAAUGUAGACAAUGUUAGAGCACAGUGUAGAAUUUGCCAAAACAAAAUCUCAUAUAAAGCCGGUUCUACGCAAAACCUAGACCGGCAUAUGCGAACUGUGCACCCAACUGUGAAGCUAGCUGUAGCGGAGCUUCGAGAAACUAGCGGGCCUGCUAGUGAUAGUGGUGGAGCCUGCACCUCCACAUGUGGAGAUGUAUCCACUCAGUCAAGUAGGCCUACUCCGUGACCCACAGAAACGCAGUCUUCUAUGGACCAGUUUAUGCCAAUGUCUGUAGCAAAACAAGGCCAAAUUGAUAUUGCAUUGGCUAAAAUGAUUGCCACUGAUUUCCAGCCAUUUUCGAACAUAGAGGACAGAGGUUUUAGAAAUUAUAGCAAUAGUCUAAAUCCAAUGUACACAAUUCCAAGCAGGAAAACCCUUUUAAAAUCACCUGAUUGUAAGAGAUGCUCUGAAGGUGAUGAAGCCCACUGUGGACAAAGUGAAAGCAGCUGUGGAAUACUUCCACCACAGGAGCACAGUAAGUGCUGAAAAACUAGUCUACACAAUGCCAGAUGGGGAUGCCUGAGCUGAGGCCUAAACAAGACUGCACUACAAGGUGGAAUUCAACAUUGUAUAUGUUGAAGCGGCUUCUUGAGUCAAAGGAUGCCAUCAUCUCUACCCUGGCCAUUGUCACAAUGCACCUGUUGAUGCUCUGGCCCAAGAGGAAUGGGAGGUGGUGAAUGAGGUGUGCAGAGUCCUGGAACCCUUUGAGCAGGUCACUGUGGAGAUCAGUGGAGAGAGGUACAGUAAGCAGUUAUUACUACAUCAUUAUUUAAUCCAGUAUUAUAUACAGUGGGGGAAAAAAGUAUUUGAUCCCCUGCUGAUUUUGUACGUUUGCCCACUUACAAAGAAAUGAUCAGUCUAUAAUUUUAAUAGUAGGUUUAUUUGAACAGUGAAAGACAGAAUAACAACAAACCAAUCCAGAAAAACGCAUGUCAGAAAUGUUAUAAAAUUAUUUGCAUUUUAAUGAGGGAAAUAAGUAUUUGACCCCUCUGCAAAACAUGACUUAGUACUUGGUGGCAAAACCCUUGUUGGCAAUCACAGAUGUCAGAUGUUUCUUGUAGUUGGCCACCAGGUCUGCACACAUCUCAGGAGGGAUUUUGUCCCACUCCUCUUUGCAGAUCUUCUCCAAGUCAUUAAGGUUUCGAGGCUGACGUUUGGCAACUCGAACCUUCAGCUCCCUCCACAGAUUUCCUAUGGGAUUAAGGUCUGGAGACUGGCUAGGCCACUCCAGGACCUUAAUGUGCUUCUUCUUGAGCCACUCCUUUGUUGCCUUGGCCGUGUGUUUUGGGUCAUUGUCAUGCUGGAAUACCCAUCCACGACCCAUUUUCAAUGCCCUGGCUGAGGGAAGUUGUCCUAUCCCCUUAGCAGAAAAACACCCCCAAAGCAUAAUGUUUCCACCUCCAUGUUUGAUGGUGGAGAUGGUGUUCUUGGGGUCAUAAGCAGCAUUCCUCCUCCUCCAAACACAGUGAGUUGAGUUGAUGUCGAAGAGCUCCAUUUUGGUCUCAUCUGACCACAACACUUUCACCAGUUGUCCUCUGAGUCAUUCAGAUGUUCAUUGGCAGACUUCAGACAGGCCUGUAUAUGUAUUCUUGAGCAGGGGGACCUUGCGGGCGCUGCAGGAUUUCAGUCCUUCACGGCGUAGUGUGUUACCAAUUGUUUUCUUGGUGACUAUGGUCCCAGCUGCCUUGAGAUCAUUGACAAGAUCCUCCCGUGUAGUUCUGGGCUGAUUCCUCACCGUUCUCAUGAUCAUUGCAACUCCACGAGGUGAGAUCUUGCAUGGAGCCCCAGGCCGAGGGAUAUUGACAGUUAUUUUGUGUUUCUUCCAUUUGCGAAAGAUCGCACCAAAUGUUGUCACCUUCUCACCAAGCUGCUUGGCGAUGGUCUUGUAGCCCAUUCCAGCCUUGUGUAGGUCUACAAUCUUGUCCCUGACAUCCUUGGAGAGCUCUUUGGUCUUGGCCAUGGUGGAGAGUUUGGAAUCUGAUUGAUUGAUUGCUUCUGUGGACAGGUGUCUUUUAUACAGGUAACAAGCUGAGAUUAGGAGCACUCCCUUUUAGAGUGUGCUCCUAAUCUCAGCUCGUUACCUGUAUAAAAGACACCUGGGAGCCAGAAAUCUUUC